UACGUAGGGGGCAAGCGUUGUCCGGAAUCAUUGGGCGUAAAGCGCGUGUAGGUGGCCAAGUAGGUCCGCUGUGAAAACUUGAGGCUCAACCUCAAGCUGUCGGUGGAAACCACUUGGCUAGAGUCCGGAAGAGGAGAGUGGAAUUCCUGGUGUAGCGGUGAAAUGCGCAGAUAUCAGGAGGAACACCAAUGGCGAAGGCAGCACUCUGGGACGCGACUGACGCUGAGACGCGAAAGCGUGGGGAGCAAACAGG
rnacentral:rRNA from 1 species